UACGUAGGCAGCAAGCGUUGUCCGGAAUUAUUGGGCGUAAAGAGCUUGUAGGCGGUCUGUCGCGUCUGCUGUGAAAAUCCGGGGCUCAACCCCGGACUUGCAGUGGGUACGGGCAGACUAGAGUGUGGUAGGGGAGACUGGAAUUCCUGGUGUAGCGGUGAAAUGCGCAGAUAUCAGGAGGAACACCGGUGGCGAAGGCGGGUCUCUGGGCCGUAACUGACGCUGAGGAGCGAAAGCAUGGGGAGCGAACAGG
rnacentral:rRNA from 1 species